rnacentral:rRNA from 1 species
AAAUUGACACCGUAACUUCGGGAGAAGGUGUGCCGCUGGCGGUUAGUGACUUCGCGUCACGAAGCUGUCGGUGGUCGCAGUGAAAUGGCGGUUGUGACUGUUUACUAAAAACACAGGACUCUGCGAAGUCGUAAGACGACGUAUAGGGUCUGACGCCUGCCCGGUGCUGGAAGGUUAAGGGGAUAUGUCAGCGCAAGCGAAGCAUUGAACCGAAGCCCCAGUAAACGGCGGCCGUAACGAUAACGGUCCUAAGGUAGCGAAAUUCCUUGUCGGGUAAGUUCCGACCUGCACGAAGGGCAUAACAACAUCCGCACUGUCUCGACCAGGGACUCAGCGAAAUUACAUUGGGGGUGAAGAUGCCCUCUACCCGCGGAAAGACGGAAAGACCCCAUGAACCUUUACUGCAACUUGGCAGUGAUUUUCGGGUUGUUCUGCGUAGGAUAGGUGGGAGGCUUUGAAGCCGGGCUUCCGGGUUCGGCAGAGCCAACGUUGAAAUACCACCCUGAAUAAUCUGGAAAUCUAACCUGCGCCCAUGAUCUGGGCGAGGGACACUGCCUGGUGGGCAGUUUGACUGGGGCGGUCGCCUCCUAAAUUGUAACGGAGGCGUGCGACGGUUCCCUCAGGCUGAUUGGAAACCAGCCGUAGAGUGCAAACGCAUAAGGGAGCUUUACUGCGAGACUGACAAGUCGAACAGUUGCGAAAGCAGGUGUUAGUGAUCCGGUGGUACCACAUGGAAGGGCCAUCGCUCAUCGGAUAAAAGGUACUCUGGGGAUAACAGGCUGAUCGCGCCUGAGAGUUCACAUCGGCGGCGCGGUUUGGCACCUCGAUGUCGGCUCAUCGCAUCCUGGGGCUGGAGCAGGUCCCAAGGGUUUGGCUGUUCGCCAAUUAAAGCGGUACGCGAGCUGGGUUUAAAACGUCGUGAGACAGUUUGGUCCCUAUCUUCCGUGGGCGCAGGACACUUGAGAGGAGCUAUCCAUAGUACGAGAGUACCUGGAUGGACGAACCUCUGGUGCUCCGGUUGUCACGCCAGUGGCAUAGCCGGGUAGCCAUGUUCGGAACAGAUAACCGCUGAAGGCAUAUAAGCGGGAAGCUGGCCUCAAGACUAGGUGUCCCUGACGCAAGUCACUAAAGGCCCCUCGAAGACUACGAGGUUAUAGGCUCGGUGUGGAAGCGCUGCGAGGCGUGGAGCUAACGAGUACUAAUAGGCCGUGCGACUUGACUAC